GACGAACGCUGGCGGCGUGCUUAACACAUGCAAGUCGAACGGAAAGGCCCCUUUGGGGGUACUCGAGUGGCGAACGGGUGAGUAACACGUGAGUAACCUGCCCUUGACUUCGGGAUAACUUCAGGAAACUGGGGCUAAUACCGGAUAGGAAUCCUUGCUGCAUGGUGGGGGUUGGUAAGCUCCGGCGGUUUUGGAUGGACUCGCGGCGUAUCAGCUUGUUGGUGGGGUAGUGGCUUACCAAGGCUUUGACGGGUAGCCGGCCUGAGAGGGCGACCGGCCACAUUGGGACUGAGAGACGGCCCAGACUCCUACGGGAGGCAGCAGUGGGGAAUAUUGCACAAUGGGCGGAAGCCUGAUGCAGCAACGCCGCGUGCGGGAUGACGGCCUUCGGGUUGUAAACCGCUUUCAGCAGGGGAGAAGCUUGUGGUGACGGUACCUGCAGAAGAAGCACCGGCUAACUACGUG
rnacentral:rRNA from 1 species